rnacentral:rRNA from 1 species
CCUGAUGCAGCAACGCCGCGUGAGGUAUGAAGGCCUUUGGGUGUGUGAAGCCUCUGUCCUAGGGGAAGAAAAAAAUGACGGUACCCGAGGAGGAAGCCCCGGCUAACUACGUGCCAGCAGCCGCGGUAAUACGUAGGGGGCAAGCGUUAUCCGGAAUUAUUGGGCGUAAAGAGUGCGUAGGUGGUCUACUAAGCGCGAGGUGAAAGGCAAUGGCUCAACCAUUGUUAGCCUUGUGAACUGGCAGACUUGAGUGCAAGAGAGGAAAGCGGAAUUCCUAGUGUAGCGGUGAAAUGCGCAGAUAUUAGGAGGAACACCGGCGGCGAAGGCGACUUUCUGGAUUGUAACUGACACUGAGGCACGAAAGCGUGGGUAGCAAACAGGAUUAGAUACCCUGGUAGUCCACGCCGUAAACGAUGAGCACUAGGUGUCGGGACAUGAGUCUCGGUGCCGCAGUUAACGCAAUAAGUGCUCCGCCUGGGGAGUACGCACGCAAGUGUAAAACUCAAAGGAAUGGACGGGGACCCGCACAAGCAGCGGAGCAUGUGGUUUAAUUCG